AGAGUUUGAUCCUGGCUCAGGAUGAACGCUAGCGGCAGGUUUAACACAUGCAAGUCGAGGGGUAAGGUCUCUUCGGAGAUACACGACCGGCGCACGGGUGAGUAACGCGUAUGCAACCUACCUUAUUCUAAGGGAUAGCCCGGAGAAAUUCGGAUUAAUACUUUAGAUAUAUUAAAUGGGCAUCUAUUAAAUAUUAAAGCUUCGGCGGAAUAAGAUGGGCAUGCGUGCCAUUAGGCAGUUGGUAAGGUAACGGCUUACCAAGCCAUCGAUGGCUAUGGGGUCUAAAAGGAUGGUCCCACACACUGGUACUGAGACACGGACCAGACUCCUACGGGAGGCAGCAGUGAGGAAUAUUGGUCAAUGGGUGAGAGCCUGAACCAGCCAAGCCUCGUGCAGGAUGACUGCCCUAUGGGUUGUAAACUGCUUUUAUAUAGGAAGAAAAAAGGUUAUGUAUAACCUACUGACGGUACUAUAUGAAUAAGCAUCGGCUAACUCCGUGCCAGCAGCCGCGGUAAUACGGAGGAUGCAAGCGUUAUCCGGAUUCAUUAGGUUUAAAGGGUGCGCAGGCGGUAUAAUAAGUCAGUGGUGAAAUCCUGUGGCUUAACCAUAGAAUUGCCAUUGAUACUGUUAUACUUGAGUGUAGUUGAGGUAAGCGGAAUGUGUAAUGUAGCGGUGAAAUGCUUAGAUAUUACACAGAACACCGAUUGCGUAGGCAGCUUACUAAACUAUAACUGACGCUCAUGCACGAAAGCGUGGGUAGCGAACAGGAUUAGAUACCCUGGUAGUCCACGCCGUAAACGAUGAUUACUCGCUGUGUGUCAUUUAAGAUACGUGGCUGAGCGAAAGCAUUAAGUAAUCCACCUGGGGAGUACGUUGGCAACAAUGAAACUCAAAGGAAUUGACGGGGGCCCGCACAAGCGGAGGAACAUGUGGUUUAAUUCGAUGAUACGCGAGGAACCUUACCUGGGCUUAAAUGCAGAGCGAUCGACGCCGAAAGGUGUUUUCUCUUCGGAGCGAUUUGCAAGGUGCUGCAUGGUUGUCGUCAGCUCGUGCCGUGAGGUGUCGGGUUAAGUCCCAUAACGAGCGCAACCCCUAUCAUUAGUUGCUAGCAGGUAAAGCUGAGGACUCUAGUGAGACUGCCACCGUAAGGUGUGAGGAAGGUGGGGAUGACGUCAAAUCAGCACGGCCCUUACGUCCAGGGCUACACACGUGUUACAAUGGUCGAUACAAAGGGCAGCUACCUGGUGACAGGACGCUAAUCUCAAAAGUCGGUCUUAGUUCGGAUCGAAGUCUGCAACUCGACUUCGUGAAGUUGGAUUCGCUAGUAAUCGUAUAUCAGCAAUGAUACGGUGAAUACGUUCCCGGGCCUUGUACACACCGCCCGUCAAGCCAUGGAAGCCGGGGGUACCUGAAGUCCGUAACCGCAAGGAUCGGCCUAGGGUAAAACUGGUGACUGGGGCUAAGUCGUAACAAGGUA
rnacentral:rRNA from 1 species